UACGGAGGAUGCAAGCGUUAUCCGGAAUUAUUGGGCGUAAAGCGUCCGCAGGUGGCACUUCAAGUCUGCUGUCAAAGACCGGGGCUUAACCCUGGAAAGGCAGUGGAAACUGAAGCGCUAGAGUGUGGCAGGGGUAGAGGGAAUUCCCGGUGUAGCGGUGAAAUGCGUAGAGAUCAGGAAGAACAUCGGUGGCGAAGGCGGCAUCCUGGACCAUAACUGACGCUGAGGCGCGAAAGCUAGGGGAGCAAACGGG
rnacentral:rRNA from 1 species